CAGAUUGUACUUCCAGGGAUCAUUUCUAUAGUUGAUAACUAGAGAAGUGUGCCUGAAAGUGAUAGGACUAUUUGGUCCUGGGCUUUACUGUUACCCAUCUCCAUGAUGUUAAUGGUAAUACUUAUGCCAGAUAUUACAGCUUCAAAUUGAAGACCAAAUAUGAAUGGA
rnacentral:snoRNA from 1 species